GACGAACGCUGGCGGCGUGCUUAACACAUGCAAGUCGAACGGUAAGGCCCUUCGGGGUACACGAGUGGCGAACGGGUGAGUAACACGUGGGUGAUCUGCCCUGCACUUCGGGAUAAGCCUGGGAAACUGGGUCUAAUACCGGAUAGGACCACUGCCUGCAUGGGUGGUGGUGGAUAGCUUUUGCGGUGUGGGAUGGGCCCGCGGCAUAUCAGCUUGUUGGUGGGGUGAUGGCCUACCAAGGCGACGACGGGUAGCCGGCCUGAGAGGGUGACCGGCCACACUGGGACUGAGAUACGGCCCAGACUCCUACGGGAGGCAGCAGUGGGGAAUAUUGCACAAUGGGCGCAAGCCUGAUGCAGCGACGCCGCGUGAGGGAUGACGGCCUUCGGGUUGUAAACCUCUUUCAGCACCGACGAAGCGCAAGUGACGGUAGGUGCAGAAGAAGGACCGGCCAACUACGUGCCAGCAGCCGCAGUAA
rnacentral:rRNA from 1 species